UACGGAGGGUGCGAGCGUUGUUCGGAAUUACUGGGCGUAAAGGGCGCGUAGGCGGCCUGCUAAGUCGAACGUGAAAUCCCCGGGCUCAACCCGGGAACUGCGUCCGAUACUGACAGGCUCGAAUCCGGGAGAGGGAUGUGGAAUUCCAGGUGUAGCGGUGAAAUGCGCAGAUAUCAGGAGGAACACCGAUGGCGAAAGCAGGUACCUGGACCAUUACUGACGCUCAGCUGCGAAAGCUAGGGGAGCAAACAGG
rnacentral:rRNA from 1 species